AGCGAACGCUGGCGGCAGGCCUAACACAUGCAAGUCGAGCGCCGUAGCAAUACGGAGCGGCAGACGGGAGAGUAACACGUGGGAACGUGCCCUUCAGUUCGGAACAACCCAGGGAAACUUGGGCUAAUACCGGAUACGUCCGUAAGGAGAAAGAUUUGUCGCUGAAGGAUCGGCCCGCGUCUGAUUAGCUAGUUGGUGAGGUAACGGCUCACCAAGGCGACGAUCAGUAGCUGGUCUGAGAGGAUGAUCAGCCUCACUGGGACUGAGACACGGCCCAGACUCCUACGGGAGGCAGCAGUGGGGAAUAUUGGACAAUGGGCGCAAGCCUGAUCCAGCCAUGCCGCGUGGAUGAUGAAGGUCCUAGGGUUGUAAAGUUCUUUCGGCGGGGAAGAUAAUGACGGUACCUGCAGAAGAAGCCCCGGCUAACUUCGUGCCAGCAGCCGCAGUAAUAC
rnacentral:rRNA from 1 species